AUGAAUACUCGGUUUGUGAAUUUGAUAGUGCAGGACUUGAGCCGUCGCAUGUAUUCGCUGCAUCGUCUGGAUCCCUUGAAGUACCUCUUCUAUCCGUCAACAGAAGCACGAAAAGCAGCACUAGCAAAAACGGAGAAGAACAAACCACCUAUGCUAGAGCGCUUGUCGGUUCUGCCUAAGCCGGAAAUCAAUUUUCAUCCCAUGUCUAGUUUAACACAUAGUAGUAUGAACAGGGAUUCGUUCUCUCUACUUGGAAAAGACAGUAUUGUUUUCAGUGACUCCUUUAGUAAGACAAUACUCUACAACAUUGAGCUGGGAACUGUUGCAAGCAUCCCUCGUAUCAAUUCAUGCAUGGUUCCUUUUGGCAUGAGCCUCCCCAUGAUCCAAGACAAUCUUGUUGACCGGACAGAAGAUCAAUCUCUCUAUGUUAUGGACCUGUCACGUGACGCCAACAUCAGCAGCUGCUUCGAGGUCCUUAGAUGCGACGAUGGUUGGGGCUGGCAUACUUUGCCGGCGCCGCCAUUCCUCUCUCACAAUCCUUCCUUCUGA
rnacentral:rRNA from 1 species